rnacentral:rRNA from 1 species
GACGAACGCUGGCGGCGUGCUUAACACAUGCAAGUCGAACGCUGAAGCUCAGCUUUUGUUGGGUGGAUGAGUGGCGAACGGGUGAGUAACACGUGAGUAACCUGCCCCCUUCUUUGGGAUAACGCCCGGAAACGGGUGCUAAUACUGGAUAUUCACUGGUCUUCGCAUGGGGGUUGGUGGAAAGGGUUUUUCUGGUGGGGGAUGGGCUCGCGGCCUAUCAGCUUGUUGGUGGGGUGAUGGCCUACCAAGGCUUUGACGGGUAGCCGGCCUGAGAGGGUGACCGGUCACAUUGGGACUGAGAUACGGCCCAGACUGCUACGGGAGGCAGCAGUGGGGAAUAUUGCACAAUGGGCGCAAGCCUGAUGCAGCGACGCCGCGUGAGGGAUGGAGGCCUUCGGGUUGUGAACCUCUUUCGCUCAUGGUCAAGCCGCAACAAUGGUUGUGGUGAGGGUAGUGGGUAAAGAAGCGCCGGCUAACUACGU